AGAUUAGUGGCUUAGUUGGUCAAAGCGCCGGACUAGCGAUACGGAGUCGUGGGUUCAAAUCCCACCAGAGCGA
rnacentral:tRNA from 1 species